rnacentral:rRNA from 1 species
GUCAGGAGAACGGAUCCUUCGGGAUACUAUUAAACUGGCGAACGGGUGAGUAACACGUAGGCAACUUGCCUUGGAGAUUGGGAUAACCCCGGGAAACCGGGACUAAUACCAAAUAAUGCAGCGUAUCCUUCGGGAUAUGUUGUUAAAGUGGGCUUCGGCUCACACUUCAAGAUGGGCCUGCGUCCGAUUAGCUUGUUGGUGAGGUAAUGGCUCACCAAGGCGAUGAUCGGUAGCUGGUCUGAGAGGAUGAUCAGCCACACUGGGAUUGAGACACGGUCCAGACUCCUACGGGAGGCAGCAGUGGGGAAUAUUGCACAAUGGAGGAAACUCUGAUGCAGCAAUGUCGCGUGAGUGAAGAAGGCCCUUGGGUCGUAAAGCUCUUUUAUGGGGGAAGAUGAUGACGGUACCCCAAGAAUAAGCACCGGCUAACUACGUGCCAGCAGCCGCGGUAAUACGUAGGGUGCGAGCGUUGUUCGGAAUUACUGGGCGUAAAGGGCGCGCAGGCGGAAUAGCAAGUCGGAGGUGAAAGCCCGGGGCUCAACCCCGGAGGGUCUUUCGAAACUGCUAAUCUAGAGAGGGUCAGGGGCCAGCAGAAUUCUUGGUGUGGAGGUGAAAUUCGUAGAUAUCAAGAGGAAUACCGGUGGCGAAGGCGGCUGGCUGGGGCCACUCUGACGCUGAGGCGCGAAAGCGUGGGGAGCAAACAGGAUUA